rnacentral:rRNA from 1 species
UACGAAGGGGGCUAGCGUUGCUCGGAAUUACUGGGCGUAAAGCGCACGUAGGCGGCUUCUUAAGUCGGAGGUGAAAUCCUGGAGCUCAACUCCAGAACUGCCUUCGAUACUGGGAGCUCGAGUCCGGGAGAGGUGAGUGGAACUGCGAGUGUAGAGGUGAAAUUCGUAGAUAUUCGCAAGAACACCAGUGGCGAAGGCGGCUCACUGGCCCGGUACUGACGCUGAGGUGGCGAAAGCGUGGG